UUGGAUCUUCGUGAUAAUUUUGGGGGAUGAUCCUAUGGGCGAUCCGUGAGGAUCCGACCGUUGGAUCAUCAUAUAAUUUCGAUCCGACCGUUGGAUCGUCUUUAUUUUAAUUAUGAGUUGUGGGCUAAGUUAUGAUCAUAUUGGAUUUAGGUGAUUGACGGUCUUCCUUGGUGAGCGGUUUUGGCGUGUUUUGUGAAAUUGAAGACGCAGUGGGAUUAGAGCGGGAAAUCUUGCAGGUUAGGAGAUUCAGGGCGGUGAUCGCACGGGUUAGAGUAAUAGUUAUAGUUUUACAGUGAUUGUAAUAGCGAGGUGAGUGAUGCUCAAUUUGAGCUUUACAUAUUUACUUUGUUUAAGUGAGUUGUAAUAAUUAAUUUGAGAUUCGAAAUUUGAGUGAUUUGUGUUUUUAGUUGAUUUUUCAUGUUUCGGAUUUUGAAUUAGUUAUUCAAAAUUCGGGGCGUGACAAAUAGUGAGGUGCACUUUAAGCGUCGGAAAACUGACACCAGUCUUGGCCCUAUUUAUUGUGAUCCCAAUGCUGAGUUCACUCUGAAUACCGACUUUCUUGGUGACAUUUCAACUUCUUCUCAACCGAUGCUGCAACGAAAUGAGGGUGCAGAGAUUGAUGGUCACUCACUUUGGGGGAACGAUGACGCCUCUUUAGACCCUAUACGUGUUCUUUCUGCAGCGGAACUUGAGGCUUACGCUAUACCCACGAAAGAAAAAUCCAAUGCAAAGAAUGACUUACAGCAAAUUGACCCGACAGGUACAAUUCUCAACUCUUGUGGUUCAUGCAUGGUUCAAUUAAGGAAGGAGUCAAGGUGGGCCACCAGCCUAUUCACUGUCAAUAAUAUGUAAGAAAUCCCAUGCAAUUAAGUUGUGUGGUGGACAUGGAACAUAUGGAAGGGUAACGCCCUCGCAACCCAGCGAAGCUAAAGAUACAGUUUAGCAAACCCGUGCUUUCUCCUACUUUCCGGUGAUUGCUCUGCUUAACCUACAACGUUGAGUAUCGAUUCAGUGACGCGAAGAGAUCACACCACAAGGCCUUAUCAGUAAGACAAGAAGUCUUUUUCCAAAAGGCAGAGAAAAGAACCUUGUGACGGGGUUGAUGCUCUCAUCGUCCACAUUGUUUGAUCAAGAAGUUAGGUCAAGGAUGCCCCGACGACUGCACCCCACUGUGCUGGCACGCCUGUGCACUCAAAAGAGACUGUUUGCAACCAGACUGGUUUUUGGAGCCAAACAAUUAUAGAAAGGCGAAGUGGGGCCAGUGGUGAGAAGAAGAAAAGGCCAUAGAGUUUACUUAGAUUUUCUCUUUGUCUAUGUUGAUGAGAAAUUCAACAAUAGAACUCUUUUUUUUAUAUUUUUUUUGCAAAACUCAAGGAUCAGAAUCACAAAUGUUUUAUAUACAAAUAUAAACUCAAGGGUUUUUAUCUGCUAUAAGGUUUGAAUUUUA